rnacentral:rRNA from 1 species
CUGAGGUUACCGGGGGUGAGUUUGGUUUUGGGUCUGAUGCUGGCGUCUCUGGCGCAUAUUGCACGGCUCUCCUUCUCGCCUUCGUUCCUUCUAUCAACCCCUGUGCACUUUAAUAGGAUUAGAGAGAAGCGCGCCGUUUAGGGAUUAACGUAGUAGUUGUGGGUCCACCUGCGACGAAAGGUUAAUCUGCGAUCAGCGACGCGUGGUACCUCGAAGUCCUUGUUUAUUAUAAACCACUAUAUACGUCUUGUCAGAAUGUUCAGUCCCUCGUUGGACGCUAAAUGAAAUACAACUUUCAACAACGGAUCUCUUGGCUCUCGCAUCGAUGAAGAACGCAGCGAAAUGCGAUAAGUAAUGUGAAUUGCAGAAUUCAGUGAAUCAUCGAAUCUUUGAACGCACCUUGCGCCCUUUGGCAUUCCGAAGGGCACGCCUGUUUGAGUGUCAUGUUCAUCUCAAUCUAACAGCUUUUGCGGCUGACUUGGAUUGGAUUUGGGAGUCUGCUGGCCCUUUCUUGAGGUCGGCUCUCCUUGAAUGCAUGAGUGAGCGUCUAGCUCGCGUUGCUGGUGUGAUAGUCUUUCAUCAUUGGCGGCGCUUGCUUAAUGGGCUUGCUUUCGAACCGUCUUCUCAACGGAGACAACUCCAUGACAUAUUUGACCUCA